rnacentral:rRNA from 1 species
GACGAACGCUGGCGGCGUGCCUAACACAUGCAAGUCGAGCGAAGAGGGGACGGGUGAGUAAAACGUGGAUAACCUCCCACAAGACUGGGAUAACUCCGGGAAACCGGAGCUAAACCGGAUACUUAUAGUUGGACCCGGGCUGCAUUAGAUAGUUGGUAAGUUAACUGCUUAGUAAGGCAACGAUGGAUGGCCGACCUGGGAGGGUGAUGGGCAACACUGGAACUGAGCCACGGUCCAGACUCCUACGGGAGGCAGCGGUAGGGAAUCUUCCGCAAGGGGCGAAAGCCUGACGGAGCAACGCCGCGUGAGUGAUGAAGGUCUUCGGAUCGUAAGACUCUGUUAUUAGGGAAGCGGUACCUAAUCAGAAAGCCACGGCUAACUACGUGCCAGCAGCCGCGGUAAUAC